CUACGGGAGGCUGCAGUGAGGAAUUUUGCGCAAUGGGGGGAACCCUGACGCAGCAACGCCGUGUGAGUGAAGAAGGCCUUUGGGUCGUAAAGCUCUGUCAACUGGGAAGAAGUUACUGUGCUUUAAUAGAGUGCAGUAUUGACGGUACCAGUGGAGGAAGCGUCGGCUAACUCCGUGCCAGCAGCCGCGGUAACACGGGGGACGCAAGCGUUAUUCGGAAUUAUUGGGCGUAAAGGGCGCGUAGGCGGUCUUGUCGGUCAGGUGUGAAAGCCCGGGGCUCAACCCCGGACGUGCACUUGAAACAGCAAGACUGGAGUACGGGAGAGGAAAGCGGAAUUCCUGGUGUAGAGGUGAAAUUCGUAGAUAUCAGGAGGAACACCGAUGGCGAAGGCAGCUUUCUGGACCGAAACUGACGCUGAGGCGCGAAGGCGUGGGUAGCGAACGGGAUUAGAUACCCCCGUAGUC
rnacentral:rRNA from 1 species